GUUGUCUCGUUUGUCCCGGACAUGGAGGCGGGCGUCCGUCUCGCUGAGGGAGGACUGGGUGUUGAUCAGCACGGUUCGGACCGGGUCUUCAUCCUGCGUUAGAGGAAUCUCCGCCGCUGUACUGCUUCAUCGAAGUAAAUUUCUCAGGGGCAGAGGAAGGGGUGACAGGGAUUAUCAGCCUGAUGUUCUUCUUCAAAGUGUGUGACAGCAACUGGAGAGGUUCUCCGUGACUGGUCCCAAGAGGGACGGACAUAUUGCGGCUUUAGAGGCUCUUGAGUAACUUACUCCCUGGCCAGUUUUUAAUAGAGGAUUUUUGGCUGCCAGACGAGAACUACGGGGGACAUCGCAACUCUCUUCUGGUCUUUCCUCCCGAUCCUUCCUCGUCAUGCUGAGUUCGAAGAUGCAGUCUUCUUCGAUGAGGGAUCCUUCGUCUGUCCCGAGAUGAGGCAUGAUGAGUGUGGAUAGGGGCAGUAUCCUUCGGAGACGGAUUGCGUCAUAGUGUUGCGACUCAGCCGUCCCAAAUGUGGCUGACAAAUGCAUCCUUCCAUUCCUGGGCAAUGAAGGAUCCAUCAAAGUGGUAGACCCGAUUAUCACACCACUAUAACCAACCCGGCUUGACACUGAGUUUAGCCUGCCUACCUAGUUAACAUAUGGACACACAAAUAAAUAAAUGUAUAGAUACACAAGU